GGCGGCGUGGUGAAAUUGGUAGACACGCGGGAUUCAAAAUCCCGUUGGGGCAACUCAGUGUCGGUUCGAGUCCGACCGCCGCUACCA
rnacentral:tRNA from 1 species